GACUCCAGGGAUAGUGCAACAGAGAGAUACCGCCAGGUUUUUCCUGGUAAGGGUGGAAAGGCAGUGUAAGAGACUACCGUUUCUCUGGUAACAGAGAAAGCCAUGUAAACCCCAUCCGAAGCAAGACCGAAUAGAAAACGUAUAUGGCUGCCCGUCAUGUUUUCAGGUGGGUCGCUUAAGGGGACUGGCGACAGUUCCAUUGGAUAGAUGAUUACACACGACAUAACCCGGCUUAUCGUUUUGCUUUGCAU
rnacentral:RNase_P_RNA from 1 species